GACGAACGCUGGCGGCGCGCUUAACACAAUGCAAGUCGAGCGAGAACCAGCCCUUCGGGGCUGGGAAAGCGGCGAACGGGUGAGUAACACGUGGGUAAUCUGCCCUCGGCACCGGAAUAGCCCGGGAAACCCGGAUUAAUGCCGGAUGGCCUCUCGAGCUCUCGAGCUCGUGAGAAAAGGUAGCUUUGGCCUCCGGCCGAGGAUGAGCCCGCGGUCGAUUAGCUUGUUGGUGAGGUAAUGGCNCACCAAGGCGACGAUCGAUAGCUGGUCUGAGAGGACGAUCAGCCACACUGGGACUGAGACACGGCCCAGACUCCUACGGGAGGCAGCAGCGGGGAAUCUUGCGCAAUGGGCGAAAGCCUGACGCAGCGACGCCGUGUGCGGGAAGAAGGCCU
rnacentral:rRNA from 1 species